GAGGCCAUAGUUCAACGGAUAGAAUGGGGACCUUCUAAGUCUCGGAUGGCAGUUCGAUUCUGCCUGGCCUCA
rnacentral:tRNA from 2 species